rnacentral:sRNA from 1 species
CCAGAGGACCAGGGUUCAAUCCUAUCUGCCACAAGAGACUCACAGCUGUCUCUGAAUUCAGUCCCAGAUGCCCUCUUCUGGCUCCCACACAGGCAUUGAAUGCAUGUGGUAGAUAAACAUGCAGACAAAACACAUAUACACAUAAAUUAAAUUUAAAAGCAAUAAAUAAGUAAAUAAUAAGGAAGAACUGGGAAUAUUGUCCAGUGGACUAGUCCAUAGGUCCUAGGUUUACUACCCAAGAAAAAAGACAGAUACACAGGUGGAAAGAAAGAGGGAGAAUCAGAGUCUCAUAAAGUUGUGCUUCUCUUUCCUUUAUACAAGGCCACAUCAAAAACUGAUGCCUAUGACAACCAACCUACACAUACAUGGUCAUUGUUUACACGUCACCCAUGAGCAACCCAGACUGACCAAGAUAGUUGUAAAAAAAAAAGUGCAGAAAGUGAGUCUAUAAAUGCCAAAAGAAAGGCCAAUAAGAUGUGUAAUUUAUAUUGAGACUGCAUUACUGCCCCAAGGACCGCAAUAACCAGACAAAAGUCUUUGUGUUGUAUCAGACAAUGAUCAUCUGACAUCUAUCAGCAUUCUCCAAGUUGCCUCUUCCCCUCGGAGUUAUGUAAUAUUCUAAUCAAUAAUUAAUAGCGAGUUAAAUAAAGGACAGGGCAGAAAAUCAAAUGACUUCAAAGCCGUUAGUCAGAGCUGCACCUGGGUAGACACAGGAAGACCUGUGCACCUUUGGCUUCAUUAAAAUCUUGGACAGUUUUCUCAACAGAAGUAUGUAAGCAUGUGCUCAUGUCUGUGACAUUUAGGAGGUUAUGAAUAUUUAAGAAAUAGGAACUGAAAGUCCUUCUGCUUGCUAAUGGAGGCGACACCCACAUCACCAGAGGCUUUUAGAGACAAUCAUCGGGCCUGCCAGCCCAGCAGGAUGCAAUCUGCAAUUACUUUGCUGCAGAUUUGGAAACAGAAUUGAUUUUACCUUAUGUAAUCCUACUGACCCAAGAACUCUAGAAAGCCAUUUUGGAGUGAGUCAACAGAUUUGGGGUCUAUAGAGGAAAUAACUUUGAAGCCCAGAAGUUCAAGUCCUUAGAAUCAUUCUGAAUACCGCUGUGUAUUUUUGUUCUAGUGUGCUUUGGCUAGACCAAGAAGGCUGGUCUCACAAAAAUGCACAAGACAUAUGGCACAGAGCCUCCAAAGGAUCCAUUUGUACUUCUGUCAAAGAAAAACAUCUAUAUCUAUGUAAUCAGUGUUUUCCUACUACAUAUAAGUUUGUAGUCAAGACAAAAUACUGACUUUAAAAUCCCAAAUAAAGGGAACAAUGGGUGUUUUUAUGGGCAUAAGUUGGCAUUUAGAAUAUCUAGAUCACAAUUUCUUCAUUCUGUGGGAGAGCGGAUGUUACCAUGGUGUCACCCAUGAUAGCAUAUCUCAAGCUUGCCAGUGAAUGAAUUCAUACUCUUUUCACUAUUUUUUUUUUACCAAUUAUGGAUUGUAUAUGGUUUAGUUGUGUGACCAGGACCUUACAAGCACUAUGGCCAACCCACCCAGUACUAUGACAUGUUCAGAGAGUGUCCCUGCCAUAUACUUAGAUAUCACUAAAUAGCGGACUGCUUUAAAGGUUUCUAACACUUUCUGAUUCUGUGUUUACCUCAAUGUUAGCCUGUCACAACAGGUCAAGGAAAGUGUCAGUUGUUAGGCAGUAGAUCUAGAAAGUCUGUAAACCUGUCCAUUCCAGGAAGACUUAGAAAUAGAAGGGGAACACAAAACAAGAAGCUAUGAAACAACACAAUCUCUUUCCUUAGCUUCACUCUAGUCCACACUAGGGAUUUCAAAAUAUCCAGGCUCAUAUGAAGAGUUCAAGGGCAUAAGACCAGGGCCCACUAACUGAGUUUCACUCAGAGGAACCUGCAGAACUGUGGACAUGCUGAAACCAUAGUUAGCAUGUACAAGAAGAAUGGAAUGGAGGUAAUGAGUUAAACACACCUGAGCUCAUGUUCUUGGUUCCAUCUCUCUAUGUAUAGCCAAUAAGGCAUCCAGACUUGCUCAUCCAGCCAUCCUGGAAUAUGCUAUGGGAGGCCAGAGAGGCUUCAAUGUUAGGACAAAGGGAUAGCCUUGGUGGGGACUUAGAAACAAGUAUAAAUAGUGCACUUCUCCUGAAAGGUCAGAUGAACCAGAUACAUCCAGCAGUCACCCUACCAGGGAUCAGAAGGCAGCACAGAUCCAGAAUACUCUGUAUGGAUCUCAAAAUGCUCAUCACCACAUCACAAGGACAUAAUGACCCUCCGUACACCCACAUCUGCUGGAAGGUAAGUAAGGAGGGGAGAUGGGACCCAGAAAGCCUAAAGAAUGGAGGACUGAACUCAUCUAUGGUAAAAAUUAAAAUAAGAUGAAAUAGUUUUUAAAAGUCUGGUGGUCGUUUAAUCAGAAAAGAGAUUUUUAAUUGUAGGAAUAUGUAGCAUUGGUAAUAAGUUUCCCUCAACAACCCGGAAAGAUGGGUCCCUGUAAACCUGGAAAGGAUAUUAAGUCUGCUGUAAGAAGUGCAGGUGCAUUUUCCUAGUGUAUUAAAGGAACAUAGGCAUAUUCCUUGUGCACCAGUUUCUUGUUUUUUGUUUUUUGUUUUCUUUUUGUCAUAGCACUAAGGAAGAAGCUAGAACUCAGGAAUCAAGGGAAACAUGGAGGAAUGAUGGAUUUCCCCAAACAGAGCCUCCUACAGCUCUGCUCUCUGAGAAGUCAUGCUGACUCAUUGGCUCAAGCUGUGAUGCUCAGCUGUCUGUCCAUCUUGUCUCCUGGAACAGCUCAAUCCAGGGUCUUCCUGAAGUGGUGAUCACUCCAGCUGGCAGGGGUAGAAAAUGGUACCAGUCAGGUCAGAGCUCUGGGAUCCCACAGUCACUGCUGCAGGAUGGAGGAACCUACUCCUGAGCCUGUCUAUGUGGAUGUGGACAAGGGGCUGACCUUGGCUUGCUUCGUUUUCCUCUGCCUCUUCCUCGUAGUCAUGAUCAUCCGCUGUGCCAAAGUCAUCAUGGACCCCUACAGUGCCAUCCCCACGUCAACCUGGGAGGAGCAGCACCUGGAUGACUGAGGCACAGGACAGGUCUCAGUAUCCCCAACAUGCCUUUGUACACUCUGGCCAACAUCCUGCGAGCACUUGGAGACUGGGAGUGGCUAUGAUCACCCAAAACUGGAGAAGGCUCACCUUUGCCUUACUGGCUCUCACAUGACCACCAGAGGGGAAUGCCAUCGUGCAGGAGCCAAGGCAGUCUGGAGGAUCCUGGGGAGAGGAAUGCUGAGCCAUGACUCAGUCGAGUGGAGAUGAUGUUGGGACUCCACUGGGAGACAGCAGGGUGAUAGUUCCCUGCCCAGGCUCCUGGGCACCUUUGAAAACUGAACCAAAACCAGAUACUCUGGUCUACAAAUAGUGGUCAGGAGGAGACUGACCUUCAACUACACAGCAUGGAGAGGUUGCUGAGAGCCCAGUACCCUCUACAGACUAACAGUGAGGGGCAGGAAGGAUGAAGACUUCAGGGGGCUUCUCCUCCAAAUUCUCACAAGGCACACAGCUACUUUCAAACUUUUAUUUUCAAAAGAAAAAAACUCCAUAAAAACACAAACUAAGAUACAGAAGGGAUAUAUUUUUCCUGUUAAAAAUGAGAUGUGCAUUUUAGACACUUGGGAAAAUAUAAAUAAAUAGAAGGGAAGGGAGGCGAAUAGCACUUAAAAAUCCAACCUCCCCAAAGCCAUCAUUUUGAUACAUUUCUUCAAGUCUUUUUUACAGGAUUUUUUUUAGUAAUUCACACCAUAUGCAUGAUGCUGCAUUGAUUUGUAUGAUAGCUUAAAUAUCUUCUGCCUCACAAGAUACCAUGGCUGUUUUUAGUGACUGAGAGUAAACUGGCUAGGCCAUGGCUGAAUAUAGUCCUUUUCUUUAAUCUGUCUAACUUUCUACAAUGUACUCAUGCAAA